rnacentral:lncRNA from 1 species
AUUGGGAAACAUCGAAAGAGUAACGCUGUUUUCAAGUUCCUUCCAUGUUUUUCACUUUGUUUUCACUCACCUUUCCCACACUCUAUUCUCUAUUUCUCUCCAUCUCAAUAAUUCCCCUUUACCAUCUCUUCUUUGAUUUCUUUCAUCUUGCGUCUCUUCUUUUCAUACACCUUUCAAUUUUAACCUUAUCUGCAAUAAUGGGAUCCAAUCUUUGUCAAAAAGCUUCUUCCUUUUCUUCUGGAAAUGGUCCAAACAUGGUACACAUUUUCUUCUUUUCUUAUUGUAAUUUCACUGAUAAUUCACAAGUUGUAUGGUUGCAGAUAACUCUUACAGGAUUUAUGUUCUUACUACUGUCAGCAUUUCUUGGCAAUGUAAGUGGAACUUGAGUACAUUAAUCUUCCUACUCCGUAAACCAUAUGUCAUAAUAGUAAUACUCGGAUGCCCUGAUAUUUCUUUUAAAAAAAUAAUAGUGAGUCUUCUAAUGCAUAUAUUGUUGGGAAAAAUGUAUGCCCAAG